rnacentral:tRNA from 1 species
UUGGUUAAAGCCAAAAAGAGGCUGGUCUCUGUUAAAGACCUAAUUGAUUUAUCUGACCAUU